rnacentral:rRNA from 1 species
AACCUUGCGAAAGUAAGACUAAUACCCAAUGAUAUCUCUAGAAGACAUCUGAAAGAGAUUAAAAGAUUUAUCGGUGAUGGAUGGGGAUGCGUCUGAUUAGCUUGUUGGCGGGUAACGGCCCACCAAGGCAACGAUCAGUAGGGGUUCUGAGAGGAAGGUCCCCCACAUUGGAACUGAGACACGGUCCAAACUCCUACGGGAGGCAGCAGUGAGGAAUAUUGGUCAAUGGGCGCAAGCCUGAACCAGCCAAGUAGCGUGAAGGAUGACUGCCCUAUGGGUUGUAAACUUCUUUUAUGCGGGAAUAACCUCGACCAUGUAUGGUCGUUUGCAUGUACCGCAAGAAAAAGCAUCGGCUAAUUCCGUG